rnacentral:sRNA from 1 species
CGCCUAACCCUUAUGGAAGUCAUAAGGUAUGGCAUAAAAACACGGUUCAGGUAUAUCAAACUCUCAGUCAGAGCACCUGAACCGUCAUAUCCGAAAGGAUAUGGGUGGCGCAAGCCAUC